rnacentral:tRNA from 1 species
GGGCUCGUCGUCUAGUCUGGAUAGGACACUGGCCUGCGAAGCCGGAGAUCCGGGGUUCAAAUCCCCGCGGGCCCA